rnacentral:rRNA from 1 species
UACGAAGGGGGCUAGCGUUGUUCGGAAUCACUGGGCGUAAAGCGCACGCAGGCGGGUCGUUAAGUCAGGGGUGAAAUCCCGAGGCUCAACCUCGGAACUGCCUUUGAUACUGGCGACCUUUGAGUCCGGGAGAGGUGAGUGGAACUCCGAGUGUAGAGGUGAAAUUCGUAGAUAUUCGGAAGAACACCAGUGGCGAAGGCGGCUCACUGGCCCGGUACUGACGCUCAUGUGCGACAGCGUGGGGAGCAAACAGG